rnacentral:sRNA from 1 species
UUGACAAUCUUAUCGUGAAGGCAUACUUUCAGGAGUGAGGGUAGAGCGGGGUUUCCCCCGCCCUGGUAGUCUUAGUAUGCUGGGUAGCUAAUCACUAAGAGCACCACGAUGAUGAGUAUCUUCAUCAUGACCCUUUCCUUAUU